CUAAGGGAGGCAGCAGUGGGGAAUCUUGCGCAAUGGGGGAAACCCUGACGCAGCAACGCCGCGUGGGUGAUGAAGGCCUUCGGGUCGUAAAGCCCUGUCAGGUGGGAAGAAACUCAUCGGCACCAAUACUGCCGAUGCUUGACGGUACUACCGGAGGAAGCACCGGCUAACUCCGUGCCAGCAGCCGCGGUAAUACGGAGGGUGCGAGCGUUGUUCGGAAUCAUUGGGCGUAAAGGGCGUGUAGGCGGCUGGGUAAGUCUGAUGUGAAAGCCCGGGGCUCAACCCUGGAAGUGCAUUGGAGACUGCUCGGCUUGAGUACUGGAGAGGAUGGGGGAAUUCCCGGUGUAGAGGUGAAAUUCGUAGAGAUCGGGAGGAAUACCAGUGGCGAAGGCGCCCAUCUGGACGGAUACUGACGCUGAGACGCGAAAGCGUGGGGAGCAAACAGGAUUAGAUACCCUGGUAGUCCACGCUGUAAACGAUGAGCACUAGGUGUAGCGGGUAUUGACCCCUGCUGUGCCGCAGCUAACGCAUUAAGUGCUCCGCCUGGGGAUUACGGUCGCAAGACUAAAACUCAAAUGAAUUGACGG
rnacentral:rRNA from 1 species